GAUGAACGCUGGCGGCGUGCCUAAUACAUGCAAGUCGAGCGAACAGACGAGGAGCUUGCUCCUCUGACGUUAGCGGCGGACGGGUGAGUAACACGUGGAUAACCUACCUAUAAGACUGGGAUAACUUCGGGAAACCGGAGCUAAUACCGGAUAAUAUAUUGAACCGCAUGGUUCAAUAGUGAAAGACGGUUUUGCUGUCACUUAUAGAUGGAUCCGCGCCGCAUUAGCUAGUUGGUAAGGUAACGGCUUACCAAGGCAACGAUGCGUAGCCGACCUGAGAGGGUGAUCGGCCACACUGAAACUGAGACACGGUCCAGACUCCUACGGGAGGCAGCAGUAGGGAAUCUUCCGCCAUGGGCGAAAGCUUGACGGAGCAACGCCGCGUGAGUGAUGAAGGUCUUCGGAUCGUAAAACUCUGUUAUUAGGGAAGAACAAAUGUGUAAGUAACUAUGCACGUCUUGACGGUACCUAAUCAGAAAGCCACGGCUAACUACGUG
rnacentral:rRNA from 1 species